rnacentral:rRNA from 1 species
GCGGAACACGUGUGCAACCUGCCUUUAUCUGAGGGAUAGCCUUUCGAAAGGAAGAUUAAUACCUCAUAAUAUACUGAUUGGCAUCAAUUGGUAUUGAAAGCUCCGGCGGAUAGAGAUGGGCACGCGCAAGAUUAGAUAGUUGGUGAGGUAACGGCUCACCAAGUCAAUGAUCUUUAGGGGGCCUGAGAGGGUGAUCCCCCACACUGGUACUGAGACACGGACCAGACUCCUACGGGAGGCAGCAGUGAGGAAUAUUGGACAAUGGGUGCAAGCCUGAUCCAGCCAUCCUGCGUGAAGGACGACGGCCCUAUGGGUUGUAAACUUCUUUUGUACAGGGAUAAACCUACCCUCGUGAGGGUAGCUGAAGGUACUGUACGAAUAAGCACCGGCUAACUCCGUGCCAGCAGCCGCGGUAAUACGGAGGGUGCAAGCGUUAUCCGGAUUUAUUGGGUUUAAAGGGUCCGCAGGCGGGCUAGUAAGUCAGUGGUGAAAGCCUACAGCUUAACUGUAGAACUGCCGUUGAUACUGCUAGUCUUGAGUAUAGUUGAGGUAGCUGGAAUGAGUAGUGUAGCGGUGAAAUGCAUAGAUAUUACUCAGAACACCGAUUGCGAAGGCAGGUUACCAAGUUAUAACUGACGCUGAGGGACGAAAGCGUGGGGAGCGAACAGGAUUAGAUACCCUGGUAGUCCACGCCGUAAACGAUGCUAACUCGUUUUUGGGCUUUAGGGUUCAGAGACUAAGCGAAAGUGAUAAGUUAGCCACCUGGGGAGUACGACCGCAAGGUUGAAACUCAAAGGAAUUGACGGGGGCCCGCACAAGCGGUGGAUCAUGUGGUUUAAUUCGAUGAUACGCGAGGAACCUUACCAAGGCUUAAAUGGGAAUUGACAGCUGUAGAAAUACGGUUUUCUUCGGACAAUUUUCAAGGUGCUGCAUGGUUGUCGUCAGCUCGUGCCGUGAGGUGUUAGGUUAAGUCCUGCAACGAGCGCAACCCCUGUCACUAGUUGCCAUCAUUAAGUUGGGGACUCUAGUGAGACUGCCUACGCAAGUAGCGAGGAAGGUGGGGAUGACGUCAAAUCAUCACGGCCCUUACGCCUUGGGCCACACACGUGAUACAAUGGCCGGUACAGAGGGCAGCUACACUGCGAAGUGAUGCAAAUCUCGAAAGCCGGUCUCAGUUCGGAUUGGAGUCUGCAACUCGACUCUAUGAAGCUGGAAUCGCUAGUAAUCGCGCAUCAGCCAUGGCGCGGUGAAUAC